CUCAGCUUUUACACACCCUUUAUUCCAGGUUUACACACACUGUACUCUGGGUUUACUCACAUCUCACUCCGGAUUUUACUCACACUUUACUCCAGGUUUUACUCACCCUUUACUCCAGGUUUACUCCACCUUCACUCAGGUUUUACACACCCUUUAUUCCAGGUUUACACACACUUUACUCCGGGUUUUACUCAAGCUUUACUCCAGGUUUACUCACCCUUUACUCUGGGUUUAAUCUCACCUCACUCCGGGUUUUACUCACCCUUUACUCCGGGUUUUACUCCCCCUUUACUCCAGGUUUACUCAACCUUUACUCAGCUUUUACACACCCUUUAUUCCAGGUUUACACACACUUUACUCUUGGUUUGGAUGCACCUCACUCCGGGUUUUACUCAGCCUUUACUCCGGGUUUACUCAACCUUCACUCAGCUUUUACACGCACUUUAUUCCAGGUUUACACGCACUUUACUCUGGGUUUACUCACACCUUACUCCGGAUUUCACUCACCCUUUACUCCGGGUUUACUCAAUCUCUACUCCGGGUUUUACUCCCCCUUUACUCCAGGUUUACUCACCCUUUACUCCGGUUUUACACACCCUUUAUUCCACUUCUACACACACUUUACUCUGGGUUUAGGCACACCUUACUCCGGGUUUUACUCACCCUUUACUCCAGGUUUACUCACCCUUCACUCCGGUUUUACACACCCUUUAUUCCACGUUUACACACACUUUACUCUGGGUUUACUCUCACUUUACUCCGGGUUUCACUCCCCCUUUACUAUGGGUUUACUCACCCUUUACUCCGGUUUUACACACCCUUUAUUCCACGUUUACACACACUUUACUCCGCUCCAUAGAUGGGCCCCUGUGCCCCGUCGAUGCAACCCCUGCCCCAUAGAUUCGAUCCGUGCCCCAUAGAUGUGCCCCCCUGCCCCAUACAUGCAACCCCUGCCCCAUAGAUGUGCCCCCCUGCCCCAUAGAUGGGACCCCUGCCCCAUAGAUGGGAGUCCCUGCCCCAUAGAAGUGCCCCCCUGCCCC
ensembl:lncRNA